UGCGUAAACAUGUCAGUGGGGGGAGGGCCAGGUCUGUCUUAUUAAUUCUAAUAUAGAAGAAAUUUUGGGAACAGGAAACUGCUGUUGCAGAAACCACACUGGUGACAGGUGCAGAUUACAACCCUCAGCGGGCCGGGCGCCAGUGGCUCACGCCUAUAAUCCCAACACUUUGGGAGGCCGAGGCAGGCAGAUCACUUGAGGCCAGGAGUUCAAGGCCAGCCUGGCCAACAUGGAGAAACCCUGUCUCUACUAAAAAUACAAAAAUUAGCUGGGGCUGGUGGCGUGUGUCUGUAAUCCAGCUAUUCGGGAGGCCGAGGUGGGAGAAUUGCCUAAACCAGGAGGCAGAGGUUGCAGUGAGCAGGGAUUGUGCCACCACACUCCAGCCUGGGCGACAGAACCGUCUCAAAAAAAAACCCUCAGUUGCCAUGAAGUGAGUGGUGACGUGUGGUGUGAAGCAGGUGUCUGCUGUCUUGAGAAACCUCCCCUUGAGAUGCAUAGUGACCUCCGAGGAGACAGUCAUGUCACAGCAGAACGGCAGAGGCCCCCUUAACCCAGCAGCCACCGCCGGGAGCGAGCCGCACAGGCCGCACCGACCUGGGGGCGUCCCUGAGGGCACGGUAUCACCUCUGGUUCUCUUGCCCAACUGCAUGGCCUGAAUGUAAUCCCAAGGAGACAACAGACACAGACCCAAACCGAGGAGCCUUCUGCGAAGUGACUGGCAGCGCUGGCCCAGUGUUAUGUAAGAUGUUAUUUGGGGAACUGGGUAUACACACUGUCCUAUUUUUGGAACUUUUUGGAAGUCUGAAAUUAUUUUGAAAUGAGGAAAAAAAAAUAUGCUUUGUAUGAAACUAUAGUGGAAUAGAUUGAGUCGAUUCUCGUUUCAAAAUAACUUCAAAGAGUUUCCAAUAGGCAUGAUGCCGGCAUGAAUGGUUUCAGCAGGUCACAGGCAGAGAAGCCGGAAUCCCAAAAUAGCGCCAUUGUGUGGACAACCUGACUCCUUACAAACGUGCAGUGGCUUCCCAACGCUGCCUUUGAGUUUCUGGGUCUGGCUGCUGAAUGUGUUGUGCUUAAGAAUCCAGACACCCUGCUGUUCCUGCCAGAGCUUCUCACGAGAUAUUUCGGGUAGUUCAUCAUCUGUCAUGUGCAGAAUGCAUUUUAUUUCUCAUAGACGCUUGUCAUGAUAAGCUGGCCACAUUAUUAAAAGGCUCCCAAAGACAAUUUCCAGAGCGUUUUCCAAGCGUUCCCCUUGGGCAUGAGGUAAACCGGAGGUAGCGUGGUCGCAGGCCUGGCCCGGUGUGGCUUCCCAGGAGGGGAGGUCUGACCUGGAGGCCCAGAGCCCCCCAGGGUCGGGUCUGCAGCCCCAGGGCUGAUGCGUGGGGCCUCGUUUGCACAGGCCGUGUAGCC
rnacentral:lncRNA from 10 species